rnacentral:rRNA from 1 species
AUUGAACGCUGGCGGCAUGCCUUACACAUGCAAGUCGAACGGUAACGCGGGGCAACCUGGCGACGAGUGGCGAACGGGUGAGUAAUACAUCGGAACGUACCCCGUAGUGGGGGAUAACUCAGCGAAAGCUGGGCUAAUACCGCAUAUGCUCUACGGAGGAAAGUGGGGGACCCGCAAGGGCCUCACGCUAUGGGAGCGGCCGAUGUCCGAUUAGCUUGUUGGUGAGGUAAAGGCUCACCAAGGCGACGAUCGGUAGCUGGUCUGAGAGGAUGAUCAGCCAAACUGGGGCUGGGACACGGCCCAGACUCCUACGGGAGGCAGCAGUGGGGAAUUUUGGACAAUGGGGGCAACCCUGAGCCAGCCAUGCGGCGUGCGGGAAGAAGGCCUUCGGGUUGUAAACCGCUUUUGUCCGGGAAGAAAAGACCUCUCAUAACACGGGAGGUUCUUGACGGUACCGGAAGAAUAAGCACCGGCUAACUACGUGCCAGCCGCCGCAGUAAAAC